rnacentral:rRNA from 1 species
GUAGGAUAGGUGGGAGGCUUUGAAGCGUGGACGCCAGUCUGCGUGGAGCCAACCUUGAAAUACCACCCUUUAAUGUUUGAUGUUCUAACGUUGGCCCCUUAUCGGGGUUGCGGACAGUGUCUGGUGGGUAGUUUGACUGGGGCGGUCUCCUCCCAAAGCGUAACGGAGGAGCACGAAGGUUAGCUAAUCCUGGUCGGACAUCAGGAGGUUAGUGCAAUGGCAUAAGCUAGCUUGACUGCGAGCGUGACGGCGCGAGCAGGUGCGAAAGCAGGUCAUAGUGAUCCGGUGGUUCUGAAUGGAAGGGCCAUCGCUCAACGGAUAAAAGGUACUCCGGGGAUAACAGGCUGAUACCGCCCAAGAGUUCAUAUCGACGGCGGUGUUUGGCACCUCGAUGUCGGCUCAUCACAUCCUGGGGCUGAAGUAGGUCCCAAGGGUAUGGCUGUUCGCCAUUUAAAGUGGUACGCGAGCUGGGUUUAGAACGUCGUGAGACAGUUCGGUCCCUAUCUGCCGUGGGCGCUGGAGAAUUGAGGGGGG